UAAUGCAACGACACUUGGUAAGCCGUUGCAAUAAAUGAGGCUAUUGCAAUGAUCCAUUUGAUAUAGUCGCAAUAGGAGGAUCUAUUGCAACGGUAUAUUAACUACCGUUGCAGUAGGUCGGCCUUGAGUUAAUGGAACAACAUGUGUUAAGCUAAGGCAACGGUUCCAUGAUUCAUUUAAUAUUAGUGGACUACAUAGGCAAUUUCAUUCGCCGCCUCUGCGUUUUCUUUUUCUUCCUCAUCAGUUAUCCCUUUUCUCAUUCUCACUCCUUCCUCUAUCAAAUGGUGAACUAUAAAAAAUCUUUCUUGCUUUCGUUUAAUUUGGAGCUUCCUUCACUCUAAUUUCUCUUCCCAGCCCUAAAUAUCCAUAUCUGUUUAAUUUUUGUCAAACUUGCAUCAAGUUUCCUUUUGGGAAUACCUCCAAAAAGAUGUAGAUAAUGGAGAAAAUUGUUGUUGUUGGUCUCCGAGUGGAAGAAGUAAAGUUGAUCUCCUAAGUUACUAGUGCUUCUGUAUGUUCUUUGAUUCACUCCAAUUUUUGGCCAAUUCAAGAUUAGAUAAUUCAUUUUGAAGGUGAAUGGUAACUUGUAACCAAUAUCCAUUAGUUUUGUGUUGAUGACAUUAAACAACAGGGUAUUAGAUGAUUUUGCUCAGCUUAUAGUAGCAGGAAAUGCCAUGAUGAAUCUUAUAUGUGAAAUACACGAGUUUCAUGAGGUGCUUCUUAUUUACCAGGCAUUUGCUAAGUAAUAAUUAAGUGUAGAGCAAUCUGCUUAGUCAAAGGUGAUACUCUCUCCAUCCAAAAAAGAUGUAUUAUCAAGCUAGCUUGGAGUGUUGCUAUGAAAAAGGAUAACUUAUGGGUUAAAUGGGUUAGUGAAAUCUAUGUUAAGGAAGCAAAUUGGGACAAUUAUGUGGCUCCCACCAAUUCUAGCUGGGCAUGGAGGUACAUUUGUGAGGCAAAAAACACACUCACACAAAAAUUAAGAAGUACAGCUUGGAUGAAUGAUGCUGGGUUUAGUAUUAAGAAAUACUAUAAAGAGCUUAGGGGAGAAGAAGCCAAUGUGCAGUGGAGCAGGAUGGUCUGGAACAUGUAUACUCUUCCAAAACAUAGAAUAAUCUUCUGGCUUGCUGUCCAGAAUAGGCUCAAGACUAAAGAUAGGCUGGUGAUGAUGCGUAUCUGCAGUGAUGAUGUGUGCACCAUCUGUGGGCAGGAGACUUAGAGUGUUGACCAUCUUAUGUUUAGGUGCACAUAUAGUAAGCAAUGUUUUGAAAUGAUCAUGGGCUGGCUAGGGAUUCAAGGAUGCAAUAGAAGCCUAAGGCAACUCAGCCAGUGGCUUAGAAGCAGAUACAAGGGGACGAAGACUCAAAAGAAAGUGGUGAUUGCUGCAAUUGCUGCAACUGCAUACCAUAUCUGGAGGAGAAGAAACAUAGCCUACUGGGAAGCUUCAGUGCAGAGGGUUGAGAAAACAGUACAGGAGAUUAAGUUUUCUGUAAAGCAGAGGAGUCUUCAGCUUCUAAGCUUUAAAGCUAAGGCUAGAGAUAGAGAAUGGAUUGAGAAAUUGUAAUUGCUGGGCAUGUCCAGUUAGUUUGUGGUGACUGCUUUGCAAUCUUAGUGUGUAUGUUUGCAUUGGGCUUUAAUAUUACUUAAUUUCCAAAAAAAAAAUAGAUGUAUUAUUAGGAUUAUGCACAUGUAUUAAGUGGAUUCAUGUUAUUGCAAUGGUAUUCAAUAUUAACUUGUGCUAUCA